rnacentral:rRNA from 1 species
AUACGGAGGAUCCGAGCGUUAUCCGGAUUUAUUGGGUUUAAAGGGUGCGUAGGCGGGACUGUAAGUCAGGGGUGAAAUACUGCAGCUUAACUGGAGCAUUGCCUUUGAAACUGGCGAUCUUGAGUACAGUUGAGGAAGGGGGAAUGCGGUGUGUAGCGGUGAAAUGCAUAGAUAUUACACAGAACGCCGAGUGCGAAGACCCCUCGCGAAGAGGUAACGGUCGCGGAGGCACGAAUGCGGGGGGAUCGAACAGGAUUAGAUACCUUGGUAGCCCACUCAAUAAUCGAUGAUAACUAUCCGUCGGCGAUAGACCGCCGGUGGCCAAGCGAAAGCAAUAAGUCAUCCACCUGGGGAGUACGACCGCAAGGUUGAAACUCAAAGGAAUUGGCGGGG